AUGUUGAUUUCAGUUAAACUACAACAUUUACUCCAAGCAAAUACUCUUAAGAAACAAUACAAGUACUCCUACAGUACUGAAAGUACUCCUGUAUGGAGUAGUGCAACCGAGUGGUCUUUACCAUGCUCGAAUCGACGAGUGGUAGUGGCAGCAGCAGCCGCAUUGUCCAGGAGCAGCAGCAGCCUUUCCAAUCUACUCCCGCGGCAGAGAGCAGUUCUUGACCACAGUACAUCUACACCCAUAUUCCAUCCACAUCAACAAUCACAAUCACAAUCAGCUCCAGAAUCUCUCCUUGCCUUUCCCCGAAUCCUAGGCUCCAGAGAUUGGAAAGGUGUGGGGAAAAUUAAGGAUGAUAACCUUGUAGGUCAAUCAUGGGGAGCUCGACUUCGCGGCUUUCCUGGGCGCAGGUGA
rnacentral:rRNA from 1 species